GCCACAUUGAGCCACAGCUGCAACGACUAAGGCAUGCUGCAAAGGGGGCACCUGGAGGAAGUACAGAGACACACUACCUCCUGGAAUUGAACCAAUGGACACUAUUUUAGCAAUCAAAAGGGAGACAGAUGGACUGCAAACAUUCAUCCCAGAUAGGAACAAGAAAAAUUCCAAGAGCACUGUAGAAGACACUUGGGAAUAUGCCAAAGACAUGUGAAUUGAAGACUCCUCCUGCUCUAAAGACACUUACACUCUAGGAAGUAAUACAAAUACAGAAAAAUAACCUUGAGCUUCAAAAUAAACUCUACCCUUCUCAUCUUCUAUCCAGACUCAAAUACAGAAAAAUCCCUUAGUCAUCUAAAUACUUUAUAGGCCACCCUCCCCUCCAGUGUACGUUCACUUAUAACGGCCUGAUAUUUCCCCCGUUAGUGCUUCAAAGGACACAAAAAAAAUUUCUUUAUUCAAAGACUUCCACUCAGGAAAACCAGUUAUGCCAAACUGGAUUCUCCCUCCAGCCCUAAGGAACACAGAUUCUCCACAUAUACAGAGAAGGCUCUCCUUUCUUCUACCCUCACUUGUUCCCAUUCACCAAUAUUAUUUGUAAUUUCCAAAUAUUCUUAUUUUCUAUCAGCCAAACAUAAGAAUAAAAGAAAUA